rnacentral:rRNA from 1 species
GAGUUUGAUCAUGGCUCAGGAUGAACGCUAGCGGCAGGCUUAAUACAUGCAAGUCGAGGGGCAGCAGCUUUAUAGCAAUAUAGAGGCUGGCGACCGGCAAACGGGUGCGGAACACGUACACAACCUUCCUUGAAUAGGGGGAUAGCCCAUAGAAAUGUGGAUUAAUACCCCGUAAUAUAGCGGUGUGGCAUCACACUGUUAUUAUAGUUUCGGCGAUUCGAGAUGGGUGUGCGGCUGAUUAGGUAGUUGGCGGGGUAAAGGCCCACCAAGCCUUCGAUCAGUAGCUGAUGUGAGAGCAUGAUCAGCCACACGGGCACUGAGACACGGGCCCGACUCCUACGGGAGGCAGCAGUAAGGAAUAUUGGUCAAUGGACGCAAGUCUGAACCAGCCAUGCCGCGUGAAGGAUGAAGGUCCUCUGGAUUGUAAACUUCUUUUAUAGGGGGCGAAAAAAGGUCUUUCUAGAUCACUUGACAGUACCCUAUGAAUAAGCACCGGCUAACUCCGUGCCAGCAGCCGCGGUAAUACGGAGGGUGCAAGCGUUAUCCGGAUUCACUGGGUUUAAAGGGUGCGUAGGCGGGUAGGUAAGUCAGAKGUGAAAUCCUGGACCUUAACUCCAGAAACUGCCUUGAUACUAUMUAUCUUGAAUAUGGUGGAKGU